UGCAUCGAUGAAGAACGCAGCGAAAUGCGAUAAGUAAUGUGAAUUGCAGAAUUCAGUGAAUCAUCGAAUCUUUGAACGCACAUUGCGCCCAUUAGUAUUCUAGUGGGCAUGCCUGUUCGAGCGUCAUUUCAACCUCUAAGCACAGCUUACUGUUGGGAAUCUACGUCUGUAGUUCCUCAAAGACAUUGGCGGAGCGGCAGUAGUCCUCUGAGCGUAGUAAUUUUUUAUCUCGCUUCUGUUAGGCGCUGUCGUCCCGGCCGUUAAACCCUCAAUUUUUUCUGGUUGACCUCGGAUCAGGUAGGAAUACCCGCUGAACUUAAGCAUAUCAAUAA
rnacentral:rRNA from 1 species